CUCUAUUGGUCCCUCUUUUCUAUUGGCACCCCUCUUCCUGUUUGUCUCUCAUUCUUACAUCUCAUUACCAUCGUCCCUGCCUCCUAAUUGGUCCCUCUUUCUAUCAUUCUUCCCCCCCAUUGGCUGUCUUCCUCAUUAAUAGUCUCUUCUCCAGGAGUCCUCAUUUCCUAUUGGUUUUCCUUUUCUCUUAGGUCCCUCCUCCACUUUUCUCUCUUCCACUGGUCCCACCUUCUUCAGUAGUUUCAGUUGACCUGGAGGACUCUUCCUCUGUUACGCCCUCCUCUACUGUACCCCUCCUGAUCAGUAGUCCAUUCUUCAUUGGACACUUCCUGCCCAUUGAUUCAUCUUGAUUGGUCACUCUGUGACCAUUGGUCUUUUCCUAACUGGCCAUGCCCUCUCCCAUUGGUUCUUCCUUUCUAUUGGUUCUUCAUCCAAUGGUCCACCUCCAUCAUUGGUCCUUUUCUAACUGUCCCCACCCUCCCUCAUGGAUCCUCCCUUUCUAUUGGCCCUUCCUCCAAUGGUCUACCUUCCUCAUUGGUCCUUUCCUAACUGGCCCUGCCCUCCCUCAUUGGCUCUCUCUUCCUAUUGGUCUGCUUCCCUCCUUGGUCCUUUUCUAACUGGCCUCACCAUCCCCCACUGGCUCUCCCUUCCUAUUAGCCCUUCAUCCAAUGGUCCACCUCCCUCAUUGGUCCUUUUCUAACUUGCCGCAUCCUCCCCCAUUGUCUCUGCCUUCCCACUGGCCCUUCAUCCAAUGGUUCACCUUUCUUAUUGGCCCUUCACACACAGGCCCACCUUCAUGGAUCCUGCUGAUCUAUUGGACCUGUUUUUUCCUCUAGUGACUCCUCUGGACCAUUGAUCCUUUCCCCUUAGUCCCUCUUCCAUCAGCUAUACCCCCAUUCACUGUCUCAAUUCACAUCCUUCAGUUGGCUUUUGUGCUUUAUUGGUUUCUCUUCUUCCAUCAGUUCCUUCUCCAUUAUUCCUUCCUGCUGUUCAAUGAAUCCUGAUCAGUCCCCUUUGACCUUUGACAUCCUUCCUGAUUAGCAUCUCCCCACUGACCUUCCCUCUUUAUUGAACCUUCAUCUUAUGUUCCAUCUCUCCCAUGCUAUUCACCCAUUGGUCUACAUUUUCCAUUGGCUGUUCACUCACUGGCCCAGCUCCCAAAUUCACUCUCCCUCCCCCUUGACCUUUCUCCCAUUGAAACCCUGUCCCAUUGGUCCUCACCAUUAGCCCAUCUUCCCAUGGCCCCUCACCAAUUUUCCCACUCCCCAUCCUUUGGCACACUUCCCCAAGUAGCCAGUAGCCUGCUCCCCACCAGCCUCCCACUACUGACCAUCUGCUGUCUUGCCCCAGCCCAGGAUGUGGCAGCUGGUGGUGUUGGCUGAGCAGUCCCUCUCCAGGGGAAGGGGCUGGAUGAGUUCAGAGAGUUUGGCUGGGCGUGCCAGGCGCAACAGCAUGAUGUCCUGGUCAUGGCUGGCGGCAUCAUAGUCAGGGUGGAUCACAGCCCGGACAACAGAACUCUGCUCCUGGGAACUCUCCCUUUGCCGAAGGUUAUGCUUCCCCAGGAAGACCUGAAGAUUCCUGGGAAGGAAGAGGGCUGGGUCUCACCUGGAGCCCUUGGGCUGCAGUUGAGGCUUCAGAGAGGGCUGGGAAGUCAUGAAUCGCUGGCCUGCUCCUCCCACAGUCUUCCCCAGCUGGGUAAAUGGCAAUUCCAUCCUUUCAGAAUAAUCUUGGGGGCUAUUCUUCACUCUCUUUAUUUCAUGCCCUACAUCCAAGCUGUCCAGAAUUCCUUUUGCCUCUCUGAAGCAUAUCCAGAAUCUGGCCACAUCUCACCUUUCCCACGGCUACCAUCUUGGUUUGAGCUGCCUUUUCACUUCCUACCUGAACUAGAGCAGUAGCCUCCUCACUGGGCUCCCUGCUCUGUCUCUGGUCCCCCACAGUCCAUCCUCCACAAAGCAACCAGAGAUAUUUUAACAAUGUAAGUUGGUCCUGUGCCUCCUCUGCUCAGCCCCUCCUAUGACUCCCAUCUCACUCAGAAUCAAAGCCAAAGUUCUCAACGUGGCACACCAGGCCUUGCAAGCACUGCCCCAUCAUCUCACAGACAUCUUCUCCUCCCACUCUCCCCUUCUCUCCCUCUGCUCCAGCCAAACGCUGGCUUCCCUGUCUUGCCUUGAACACAAUAGUGAUCUUCCCACCUCAGGGCCUUUGCACUGCUGUUCCCUCUGCCAGCAAGUCUGUCCUCCAAGUAUCUGCAUAGCUCACUCCCUCACUUCCUUUAAAUGUCGCCUCUCAGGGAAGCCUUCCUUAGUUGCCCAAUUAAAAUACAAAUACCUGUUAGUAGGCAAUUCCUAUCUCCCUCCCCUGCUUUCUGUUCCACCAGAGAACCUAUCACAAUCAUCCGACCUGCUAUAUAUUUAUUGUUAAAUAUUUACUCAUUGUGUUAUUUCUCCUCCUUGCAGAGCAAUGCUGUCCACUAAAUGCUACGAUGCCAUGAUCUCGAUCUGCACUGUCCAGAGGUGGCUGGGGGAACCACAAGCUACAGGCUGAGGGAGAGAAGAUCUGAGUCAGAGAGGAGUUCUGGAGAAACCAAGCGCAUCCCCCUCAACAUGAACUCCAGUCAAGAUUGGUCAGGUGCAGUGGCUUAUGCCUGUAAUCC
rnacentral:lncRNA from 1 species